UACGAAGGGGGCGAGCGUUGUUCGGAAUUACUGGGCGUAAAGGGCGCGCAGGCGGCUCUGAAAGUCAGAUGUGAAAGCCCCGGGCUUAACCUGGGAAUUGCAUUUGAUACUCUGGAGCUUGAGUACGGGAGAGGAUAGUGGAAUUCCCAGUGUAGAGGUGAAAUUCGUAGAUAUUGGGAAGAACACCGGUGGCGAAGGCGGCUAUCUGGACCGUAACUGACGCUGAGGCGCGAAAGCUAGGGGAGCAAACAGG
rnacentral:rRNA from 1 species